GAUGAACGCUGGCGGCGUGCCUAAUACAUGCAAGUCGAGCGAACGGACGAGAAGCUUGCUUCUCUGAUGUUAGCGGCGGACGGGUGAGUAACACGUGGAUAACCUACCUAUAAGACUGGGAUAAAUUCGGGAAACCGGAGCUAAUACCGGAUAAUAUUUUGAACCGCAUGGUUCAAAAGUGAAAGACGGUCUUGCUGUCACUUAUAGAUGGAUCCGCGCUGCAUUAGCUAGUUGGUAAGGUAACGGCUUACCAAGGCAACGAUGCAUAGCCGACCCGUGAGGUUGUUCGGCCACACCGGAACUGAGACACCGUCCAGACUCCUACGGGAGGCAGCAGUAGGGAAUCUUCCGCAAUGGGCGAAUGCCUGACGGAGCAACGCCGCGUGAGUGAUGAAGGUCUUCGUAUCGUAAAACUCUGUUAUUAGGGAAGAACAUAUGUGUAAGUAACUGUGCACAUCUUGACGGUACCUAAUCAGAAAGCCACGGCUAACUACGUG
rnacentral:rRNA from 1 species